rnacentral:rRNA from 1 species
UGGGGGAUAUUGCGCAAUGGGGGAAACCCUGACGCAGCGACGCCGCGUGAGCGAAGAAGGUCUUCGGAUCGUAAAGCUCUGUCAACGGGGACGAAGGGAAUGACGGUACCCGAGGAGGAAGCCCCGGCUAACUACGUGCCAGCAGCCGCGGUAAUACGUAGGGGGCGAGCGUUGUCCGGAAUUACUGGGCGUAAAGGGUGCGUAGGCGGUCUGUUAAGUCAGAUGUGAAACUCCAUGGCUCAACUGUGGGCUUGCAUUUGAAACUGGCAGGCUAGAGUGCAGGAGAGGGAAGUGGAAUUCCUAGUGUAGCGGUGAAAUGCGUAGAGAUUAGGAGGAACACCAGUGGCGAAGGCGGCUUCCUGGCCUGUAACUGACGCUGAGGCACGAAAGCGUGGGGAGCGAACAGG